UAAAAUAGUCAUUUUGCCGACAUUUCAUAAAAUCGCCAGUUUUAAGCUCAGUUCAGAGGCUUUUAAAAAAAUAUUCUAGACCUAGUAAAGUGCCUCCAUUCAUAAAAUGAAACAUCCAAGAUUGAGACAAUUUCAUACUGAUGCGCAUCUAAAAUAGGUCGACGUAUACAGUAAAUAAACAGCGCCUCUAAGUUGCCAUAUUUCAGUUAGUGGAAUACACACCCAGCCUUCGCCGUUCUGGAUGUGCAAACUAGAAACUGAAGACAAAUGGGGAUUUCAGCGUCUAGUCCCAAUCGUUCAGCACGGAAGUACUCCACACGGUCGGCUGCUUUUCAAAAACCACCAGGACGACGUCCCAUGUCGAGCCGACCGCUGAGCCGCACGCCUCCCCACGGCGGGGGCGAGAUGGACGACGAGGAGGAGGAGGGCGGGGAGCCGCCGCCGCCGUUCCCACCGCGGGCGCAGCCGAAGCGCGGCUCGCCGUCCACCGCUUUGGUGAUGAGCGUGGCGAGCCCCAGGUAGUCGUUCCAGGAGCUGAAGGGCUGCGGGUGCGCCGGGCCCGGGGCGCUCACGUAGCGGGCGCUGGGCACGAGCGCCAUGGGCGGGGGGGCGCGGCCGC
rnacentral:lncRNA from 1 species